rnacentral:rRNA from 1 species
CUGCGUGAAGUCGGAAUCGCUAGUAAUCGCGGAUCAGCAUGCCGCGGUGAAUACGUUCCCGGGCCUUGUACACACCGCCCGUCACACCAUGAGAGUCGGGAACACCCGAAGCCCGUAGUCUAACCGCAAGGAGGACGCGGCCUAAGGUGGGUUCGAUAAUUGGGGUGAAGUCGUAACAAGGUACC